UUACUCUCAAAAAUUUGUAAAAUGACAUUUUUGUCUUGGUACAAAUCUUUUUUUUUUAAAAAAAAUAAAAAAUAAAUAAAAUCUAUCUGCCCCCUCAAAAUUAUGAAAGGCAAAAACAUCAUGGUCCCUCCAAAAUCUCAAAAUUCUGAAGUAGCUUAAGCUAUAAAUAUAGGCAAUUUUCGUUCUUUGUUGGCAUAAGUAAGGAGCACAUGGGCAGGACUCCAAAAUAUGUUCAUAUCCUUCUUAUAUUCAUUAUCUUCAUCUUCAUUACAAGUGUAGCAAUAGAAGCAAUUUCCCUUAAAUAUUGCUGGCGUUUGAGCACAACAUGGCAAAAAACAUGUCGAUUCACGCCACACUGUGAUAAAAAAUGCAGAGAAUUGGAGCAUGCGGAUCACGGAGCAUGCAAGCCGCCUUCUUUGUGGUCCUUGAGUCGAAAAUGUUACUGCAUCUUUAAGUGUUAAAUAUAAGAGGAAGAAAAAAAAAAAUCAAGAGUUUGUUGGGACUGCCACAUUAACAUUGUGGGAUAAAAACGUAGUAUAAAACAUUAGUCUGAAAUUAAAGAUGUUGAUGUUGUGAAUCCUCUGCAUGCCUCAAUCUUUUAAUUUUGCCCCUUGUAAACCACAAUCCUAAUUCCACCACUAGUUGCAUGUAGUAUAGACAUGUCAAAUGUAGCAACUCUUGGAAGGUUGUAAAGACAAUAGAGUAUAGUUUUGUAAUGAAGUUAUGUUUUAUCUAUAUAAAGUAUAGUUCAGUUAUAUGCUCUGGUAUAUAUUGUUGAUAAAGACGAGUUUGUUGUUUAGAAAAUAAAAAGAAAAAUUUUAUA